AAACUUGCAAUUUCCACAGGAAAGAUUAUAAUGAUGGUGUUGCGAAAGCAAAGAUGAUUCUGAAUCCGUUGUGAAAUAGUCGUUUUGGACUGGGGGGCGGUACCCCACAGCUCCACCAAUUUUUCAGGGUUUUCCCCCCGAAACUUGGAAAGAAAUUGAUUGUGAUUGCGUCGGAUGCGAAGAUUUUCACAAAGGGGGGUGCACAAAAAACGCACGCGACCCGACAUAGAAAGCAAGCAUGCGCCAAUCAGAAUCAAUUUAUCGGGGCUGACAUAGAUUCGACAGGCGAUAAAAGACAAAUUGGAUGAAUCCGACAUGGCGUCGUUAAAAGCCGAACAAAAACUGAAUGGCGAUAGAUUCGCUGCGAACGACAACGUUCGCCUUGCAUUGGCCGCUUGAUAAAGCGCGGGGUUCCGCCGGCGAUUGUUGGCGGGGCUCAUAACAGGCUAAUGCGGGGUCGCCCAACACCCGGCAACAGAAGUUGGGCAUU
rnacentral:tmRNA from 1 species